rnacentral:rRNA from 1 species
AUGGCGAUCACACUGGUCUUGCUGCUCGUGCUACUUUUGCUACUGCCAGUGACUCGGGCCUUAGCUCAGGAGCAGCAGCAGCAGCAGCAGCAGCCGACGCAACAUGUUGUGCAGCCGGGCUGCCGUGACAAGUGCGGCAACAUCACCAUCCCCUACCCCUUUGGCAUCGGCGCGGGUUGCUUCCGUGACGAUGGCCGAGGUGGCUUCCAGCUUUUGUGUGAGGACUCCCUACCAGUGCCACGGCUGACCGUGGCUGACUACGGCAUCCAGAUCACCGGCUUAUCCAUUAGCACCGGCGAGGCCCAGGCCUCCCUCAACGCAUCACGCCACUGCUACAACAGCAAGGGGGGCAUCAUCAGCCAAGGCGGCCCGGUAGCUGUACCAAUCGUCAAGACCAACCUCCUCUUCUCGGCCACCAAGAACAGCCUCGUCGUGCUCGGCUGCCCCAGCCUCGGCUACCUCAACGACGUUGCCGGCUACUACGUCAGUGGUUGCAUGGCCAUGUGCCAGCCACAGAAAUUCAACGCGUCAGGGUCCUGCACAGGUGUCGCCUGCUGCCAGAGCACGAUACCCUCCGGCGUCGACUACUACCAGCCGAGCCUGCUCGACAUGCCGAAGAACAAGGGAGACCCGAUCUUCUAUGGAAAGAGCACGACCUGCCGGUACGUGUUCUUGGUGGAGACAGAGUGGUUAAGUACCGGCUACACCGGCGAGAACUUCAACCGGACAGACGACUUCGCCGUGCCCGUCGUUCUCGACUGGGCAGUACGGAGCGUCAGGAACUGCAGAGCUGCUAGGCGCAACGAAACCAAGUACGCGUGCCAGAGCACGGUCAGCCAGUGCGUCAAUUCCAGAAACGGCGCUGGGUACCGGUGCGAGUGCUCCAAGGGGUAUGAGGGCAAUCCCUAUCUAGAGGAUGGAUGCAAAGUUUUGCCAAACUGAAGACAUCAAUGAGUGUGAACACGAAGAAAAAGACGCAUGUUACGGAGUCUGUAUAAAUAUGCCGGGAAGCUACACUUGCGAGUGCCCUCCUGGGACUAGUGGAGAUGCCACAGCGAAGAAUGGCUGCCAGCCAAAGGACAGUUUCACUUUAGUACUGGUGUCAGCCUUGGAGUGUUCUUGCCAUUUUUCAUGUUCUUCUGGCUCUACUUGGGGCUCCAGAAGAGGAAGCUUAUCAGAACAAAGCAGAAGUUCUUCGAGCUAAAUGGAGGCCUCUUCCUGCAGCAGCAGAUAAGUAACUACAAUGGCACCAGCAAAGGAAAUGGUGGCUUCAAGAUCUUUUCCAAGGAAGAGCUGGAGAAAGCUACCAAAAACUUUGCAGCCGACCGUGUUCUGGGCCAUGGAGGACACGGCAUUGUCUACAAGGGUGUCCUUGAGGACAAGACAGUGGUGGCGAUCAAAAAGUCAAAGAUGGAAGAGGCCCCGACCAAGGAAUUCGCAAGGGAGAUGUUCAUCCUCUCCCAGAUAAACCACAGAAAUGUCGUCAAGCUUCUUGGAUGCUGCCUUGAAGCCGAAGUGCCCAUGUUGGUCUACGAGUUCGUCUCAAACGGUACACUGUACCACUACAUACAUGGUGACAAGGGCAUCAACUCUGAUAUAGCCUUUGGCACCUGUCUUCGGGUAGCGGUAGAGUCAGCCGAGGCACUGGCAUACAUGCACUCUUCGGCCUCGCCGCCAAUCCUCCAUGGAGACAUCAAGACGGCAAACAUUCUGUUGGAUCACAAGCUCACAGCAAAAGUUUCAGAUUUCGGAGCAUCAAAAUUGGCACCAACUGAUGAGGCCAAAAUGGCAACGUUGGUGCAAGGAACUUGCGGUUACCUUGAUCCAGAAUACCUAAUGACAUGCCUGCUGACUGACAAGAGUGAUGUGUACAGCUUUGGUGUUGUGCUUUUGGAGCUUCUGACAAGGAAGAAGGCAUUGUACUUGGAAGGGCCAGGAGAAGAUAGAAGCCUCGUUUUAUGCUUCAUGACGGCAGUGAAGGUAGGUCAGCACCAAGAGCUUCUGGACAGACAAGUGAAGGAUGAGAUGAGAAUCGAAGUGCUUGAAGAGAUCACGCACCUUGUGAUAAGAUGCUUAAACAUGAGUGGGGAGGAACGGCCGACAAUGAAGGAGGUUGCAGAGAGGCUGGAGAUGCUGAGGAGAUACCAGCACCAUCCGUGGGCUCAAGCGGAUGCAAAUCCGGAGGAGGAGCAGAGCUUGCUUGUUAUGAACCAACAGAAUGUGAAUUACAAGUUCACGCAGGAUUACAUCCUUGAUUUGUGA